AAAGUCGUAACAAGGUUUCCGUAGGUGAACCUGCGGAAGGAUCAUUAAUGAGUUAUGGGAAGCGGCUUCUAUAACCUAGAAGCUGUCUUCCUAUCUCUUCACCCUUUGGUAUAUGUAUAAGUUGCUUUGGCAAUGGCUUCUGCUGUUGUCAAAGAAUACAAACUAUGUUGUCCUAUAAUUGGCUGUCAUUUGUCUGAUUAGUUACUUUAAUAGUAAAUUAAAACUUUCAACAACGGAUCUCUUGGUUCUG
rnacentral:misc_RNA from 1 species